GGUUUUCUGGGAUCUGGCUACUAUACCUGUCAACAUGGUCAGAAUGUUUGUGGCUGUUCUGGGUGGCUAGACUGGUGUUCCUUUCCUCACUCCCCAUCCCAUAUGUAUUCCUCCUCAGGCUGCACACUUUGUCAAAGAAGACAAUCUUCAAGAAAGAAAGACCAUUCCCUAGUCAAGGGUAUAUGAAUAACUGACUUCUCACAUUAAAACCCUCAAAGAAACUCCCAGGGUUUACUUUUAAAAUUAAUCAGCUUAUUGUUCCUUAUCAUAAAAUGUUCUAGGUCCAUUGUAAUUGUUUAGGUUGGCAUUCCUA
rnacentral:snRNA from 1 species